GAUGAACGCUGGCGGCGUGCCUAAUACAUGCGAGUCGAGCGAACGGACGAGAAGCUUGCUUCUCUGAUGUUAGCGGCGGACGGGUGAGUAACACGUGGAUAACCUACCUAUAAGACUGGGAUAACUUCGGGAAACCGGAGCUAAUACCGGAUAAUAUUUUGAACCGCAUGGUUCAAAAGUGAAAGACGGUCUUGCUGUCACUUAUAGAUGGAUCCGCGCUGCAUUAGCUAGUUGGUAAGGUAACGGCUUACCAAGGCAACGAUGCAUAGCCGACCUGAGAGGGUGAUCGGCCACACUGGAACUGAGACACGGUCCAGACUCCUACGGGAGGCAGCAGUAGGGAAUCUUCCUCAAUGGGCGAAAGCCUGACGGAGCAACGCCGCGUGAGUGAUGAAGGUCUUCGGAUCGUAAAACUCUGUUAUUAGGGAAGAACAUAUGUGUAAGUAACUGUGCACAUCUUGACGGUACCUAAUCAGAAAGCCACGGCUAACUACGUG
rnacentral:rRNA from 1 species